rnacentral:snRNA from 1 species
GGGUGUGAGAGCCACCCGGCUGCGACAGCUGUCACCCCACUGAUGGCCAGGGCUGGUUUGGCUGGUCCUGCCAGCAGCUGGGUGUUCCCUUCCUGCCUCACCGCUCCACGUGCGCCCCCCGAGGGUGGGCAUCGGUGGGAGAGGACCACCUUCCUGGACAGAGGAGCACGGUUGUCAGAGGUGUAGGAGCGACUGUGCUCCCCUGCUAGAACCUCCAAACCAGCUCUCAGAGACUGGUUUCCAUAGAAGCGACGUAAGAUA